UACGUAGGGUGCAAGCGUUGUCCGGAAUUAUUGGGCGUAAAGAGCUCGUAGGCGGUUUGUCGCGUCUGCUGUGAAAACCCGAGGCUCAACCUCGGGCCUGCAGUGGGUACGGGCAGACUAGAGUGCGGUAGGGGAGAUUGGAAUUCCUGGUGUAGCGGUGGAAUGCGCAGAUAUCAGGAGGAACACCGAUGGCGAAGGCAGAUCUCUGGGCCGUAACUGACGCUGAGGAGCGAAAAGCAUGGGGAGCGAACAGG
rnacentral:rRNA from 1 species